UUGGUAACAAAAUUUCCCCCGUGUUUAUCUGAUACAACCCUCUCCUAAUCACGGCACUUUAUUUAUUUAUUUACACAUACUUAUGAAUAUAUAUCACUUUGGAAUGAAAUGGGUGGAGGGAAAGUAAGUUUUCAAAGUGUGGAGAAACCAAAGACUGCUUAUUUUUAUUCUGUCUUGAUUCUUACCCCGUGGCAGGCAAGUGUAGAGCCGGUAAGCUCAGGAUCAGGAGCAAGACCGGAGGCAGUGCCAGAAGCCUGGGAUGUUUUUCUUAUUACAAAGGGUGAUGUCAAAAGGUCGAUUUGGGGAUGAAGAUGGAAACCAGCACCUGCACCCCCGCGUAGAAUACGAGGGACAAACGCAACAGCAGGAAGAGGCAGUUCUCAAAACCACUGGCUCCUGGAAACCCUCCUCUGUCCUGGCUCUGGUGGCUCUGGUGGCUCCAGGCCUAUGUGGCUCUGGGUGCAUGGGGUGGCCCCCUCUCUGCCCUCCUCGGGGCCUCUGCUUUGCCCUCCCAGGGGCUCCCCCUGAACGUGGGUCCCUGGCCAGCACCUGGAGCCUGGCAUCCUCCAGGAGGAGCUGUCCUCGCUCACGGUUCCAGUUGUCACCUGAAUGCAGAGGACGUCGGGGACAGUGCUGCCGGCCCAACAGCCCUCCAACUCCACUGUGUGUGCGCGGGGCUGCAUUUGUCUACCUGCAGAUCAGACUGUCACCUGGAUCGGCACCUCCCACACAUUAGCCCUCAUGUCCCUCCAAGUAGGCCGGUUCCAGCUCUGGCAGCGACGCCCUUUAUAUCCAGGCACCUACUUUGGGGUCUUUGGAGUCCAGGGGCUCCUCCCCUCGGCCUACUUGUCCAGUGCGGAACUCCAGCACCAGUCCCCUCCCCUCCCAUCACUGGCAACCCAGGCUGAAAUUAUGACAAGGCUGUCACAGCUGGUUCCCCCAAUCCACCCCAAACUUCCUUCUCUUUCAUUCAUCUGCUUCACCUUUGAUUAAUUGUGCUAAAAUAUUAGCACAAUAUAUUGUGCUAAAUUUC
rnacentral:lncRNA from 12 species